AAAAAAACACGAGGCAUGUGAAACCGUAUACAAUUUAGGAAAAACCUUAAAGUUUGGCCAGGAAAACCAUUAAUGGCCACAAGAGCAUUGCAAAAUGAGCACACAGAGGCCAACGACAACGUAAACAAUAAAGGCUGGCAAUAAACAGCAGGAUGCGAGGACAAACCCCAGCACCCGGGUUCACCAACACCGGAACAACGUAGACACUGAGCCACGUAGAAGUGGCUGCAACUGUUGUCGGGAAAAAUUUAUUGUGCGUAAAACAACACAAUGACAGCACUGGAGAUGUCAUCGGCGGCGAAUCGUCGAGUUUGGAGGCGGUGGUGGCGAACCUUCGACAUUGGUUUCGAUAGUACCUUUGGAAUGCCGUGGAGUCCACAUCUUGAUUAUGAAUGUUGAAUUAACAUUCUCCCAGUUCCUCGGCCUAAAUUGACUCUAGUCGCCAUCGAUCGUACCACCAUCAUCAACACCACCAGCGGCAAAAGCAC